rnacentral:lncRNA from 1 species
UCUCUCUCAGCUUUCUUCUUUCUCUUUAAAAGGGGAAUCCAAUAAGGCUGUGUUGUCUUCCAAGUGAAUUAACUUUUUUUUACAGCUCUCUUUGCCUUCGCAAGUUUGCAAAUUUCUGGCCAUCUAGCAGGGGUUGAGAGUGAGUAAAGAGGAAGUGACAAAGCGAAACUGAUGCCAAGAAUGAAAACCCACUAACGGAAUAGUUGAAAGUAGAGAGGACGUCGU